GGCCUGGCUGGGUGGUCCGCCUAACGGUGUGUACUGUCUGGCUGGGUCUUACCUCUUGGUGAACCGGCAUGCCCUUCAUUGGGUGUGUCGGGGAACCAGGACUUUUACCUUGAGAAAAUUAGAGUGCUCAAAGCAGGCCUAUGCCCGAAUACAUUAGCAUGGAAUAAUGAAAUAGGACGUGCGGUCCUAUUUUGUUGGUUUCUAGGAUCGCCGUA
rnacentral:rRNA from 1 species